rnacentral:rRNA from 1 species
CGUAGGUGGCAAGCGAUACUCGGAAUCACUAGGCGUAAAGCGCAGGUAGGCGGUUUGGUAAGUCUUUUGUGAAAGCUCCCGGCUCAACUGGGAGAGGUCAAGGGAAACUACCGGACUAGAGUGUGGUAGGGGAUACUGGAAUUCCUGGUGUAGCGGUGAAAUGCGUAGAUAUCAGGAGGAAUACCUAUGGCGAAAGCAGGUAUCUGGGCCAUCACUAACGCUGAGCUGCGAAAGCUAGGGGAGCAAACAGGAUUAGAUACCCUGGUAGUCCUAGCCCUAAACGAUGCUCAUUAGAUGUGGGAGGUAUCGACCCCUUCCGCGUCGCAGCUAACGCAUUAAAUGAGCCGCCUGGGGAGUACGGCCGCAAGGUUG